AAAUCCAAACAAAAUCUGAGCAUGUCAAAGUCAGCUCCCUAGUUCACUAGUCAGCACACUGGCAAAAGUGAUAGUAUUCUUAAAUGGCCUGGGACCAGAUGCAUAAACAUAGGAACUAUACUAAGAACUAGUUUGACCAAAAAACAGUUGGCCAUAGGGUAAGCCAGGGGUCACGAGGGCCGGUGUCCCUGCAGUGUUCAGCUCCAACCCUAAUCAAACACACCUGAACCAGCGAAUCAAGGUCUUAGUAGGUAUACUUGAAACUUCCAGGCAGGUGUGUUGAGGAAAGUUGGAGGUAAACUCUGCAGGACACCGGCACCUCCAGGAACAAGUUUGGUGACCCCUGGGGUGCCACUGCCAUUGUGACCAGCAGGUGUCCCCAACAUAAGGUGAUUCACGCGCUUCAACCCAAACAGAGUAUGGUACUUUGCACGUGUUAUUACAGUGAAAAUGAUGGACGUCAACUCACACUGUGCAGCAAAUUUGUUUGGUUUAAAUUAAAGGACAGAACACAG